ensembl:snRNA U6 U6 spliceosomal RNA
GUGCUCGUUUUGGCAGUACAUAUUUAAAUUGGUAUGAUACAGGGAAGAUUAGCAUGGUCCCUGCACAAGGAUGACACGCAAAUUCAUGAAGUGUUCUAUACUACA